CGCUUCCUGCUGUUCUCUUGCCCCACGUCCCCGCGCCCCCGCGCCCCCGCGCCCCCGCGCCCCCGCAGGUUGGUCGCGGGACGGCGGAGUGGGCACCAGAAGGUGGCGGAGACUCCCAGCCAAUUCGGCACCCUGGUUCGCCGGCUACUUGCAGCGUCCUUUGCCUGGCUUUGACAGCUAGGUGAGGAGAGGGGAUUUUACCCAACACCUGGGUGACGCCAGCAAGAGCCAGCCUUAAUUGCCCUCUUUUUUUUUUUUUUUAAAUCAAACAUAAGUGUCUGAUGCUAGUUUUUAUUGGCUGAAAGUGUGGCUGGCUGGAUGCUUCGUUUGCAUAGCGAGACAAAUUCAGUUUUGAGUUCCUUACACCUGAAGCUCAUUUGAAAUAAUUACCUCAUUCACAGCUCUGACAUUUUGGAGACCGAGACAUUAUAACUAUCAGGAACUAUGAUCUUUUGUCUUUUUAUAAUCGGUUAUAACUUCGGAACUUCUCAUCAAGCUGAACAGUUCCUUGAGACAGUGCUUUUGUAGCUAAAAGUGAUGACUCCAUUAUGGAAAGAAGAGUAAGAAGUAUAUUUUAACGACUCCCGUUUUGUUUUGAAGAUAGGGUCUCACUGUGUAAUUUAGGUUGGCCUUGAACUAUUUUAAACUGGCCUCGGUGAUUAUACUGCUUUAGCCUCCUAAUUUGCUGCCUUUUAAAUUGUAUUUAAUAAACCAAAAUACCGUUUCAUUACAAUAUAGGCAUCAACGUGGAAGAUUACACUUUUUUCUCAUUUGUUUUUUAUAUGCACUCAGAAUGAGUGAGGUCUACUUUAAAAUGUAAUGAGAUAAUACAGCAUUGCUUUCGUGUGAGAAAUAUUACUGUCUUGAAAAGCAGUCUCUACAUCUGAUUUAUUUUCAGGUUUCAUGCAUCAAAAUUUAGCAGAUUAAAAAUAGUAUUGUUCAAUAGUUAAGCAUUGUUACAAAAAUGCAAUACGAAGCAAAAUAUUUUAAGUAGCUUUUUUAAAAAAUGUGUUUGAGUUUAUUGUCUAAAAUUAGAUUGUACCAAAAUUGACUGUGUGACUUCUGGAUUAUAAUGAUAUUAACAAUGAGUAUCACAGUAAGCCUAAAACUUAAACUGGACAUGGUGUGCAGACCUGUAAUCCCAAUACUCAAGAGGCUUAGGCAGGAAGAUUACAGAAAUUUGCUUAGCGAGCAAGAACAUGACUCAAAAAAAAUUUUUUUUUUCAAACUAAGUACUUUAUAUUUUUCAAAUUGGUUUUGUAAAUUGUGUAACUUUCUGACAGUUUGGAAACAAAGCAUUCCACUAAGAUAGAAAAGGAGAUAGGAGAGGUGGUCUUAUCACAGGAAAUGUAAUUCUAUACCUAUUUCAAAGUUAUACUUUUAGAUGUGGAAAUAGAAUUUUAUUUUCAUCGGUACGAGUUUUCCUAAAUAUGGGGUAUUGCCCACCACCAAAACAUCAUCCUAAAUUAGAAUGUUAAGAGCAACAUUUUAAAUUACUUCUUCCAAGAUUUUUAAAUGUCAACACAACUUUGUAUUUUUGCUUUUCUUAGGAAGACGUUAUUUCCUUCAACGGAUGUACUGAGUACUUCCAUGCAACAGUGGCAGGACUAGACUGAAAUUCAAGUAUACUGGGAUGGUCCAGGAGAUUAUCCAGUAUGCCCUGUGACCAGAGAGGUUUCAAAACUACUGCUACCUGUGUCCCAGGCACGUGAAUUAAUUGGUCUGGAAUAUGACAUGGGCUUUGGAAUGUGUUAAAUAUCCUCAGAUUUUUUUUAGGUGUAAAUAUAUUUGGGGUCAGGGACUAAAGUAUCUCAGGUAGAGGUCACAGAAUGAGGAGGCACAGGGAGGCAUGCCUGGGAAGCAGGAUGGUCAUGUAUCUAUCUAAUCUUUGUAAUGAAAAAAGCUUAAGCAUUGGUGGGUGACGUGUGUUUUGCUGUAAAGAAAACAAUUAUGUAAAAAACAAGAUACCGGAACUACUGUAGUUUACUGUUUUUUUACAAGUACUUGCCAGGCAUCGGGAUAAUAUAUGAGAAGACUAGUUCAGUAUACAAGGACAAAAAUUAUUUUUAUCUCUUACAUAAUUCAAAGUUUUGGGGGAUUCAGGUUUUAAUGAAAGAGAGAAAUGAGUAAUUUGAAAUACUUGUAAAGAAUACUUUUCCAAAAUUAAAUCCUGUUUAUCAUUCUGGCUGAAGGUCAUAAUAAAGAAAUUAGGUUUACUUUUCUUCUUGGUAAUUACUGAGAUCCAUUUGAGAAACAAAAUAAAAUGCAUUUUAAACAAGCAAAAUAAAUUUAAUUAAGCCCUACUCUACAGUUUUAAUGCCUGUGUUGCUGAUAAAAGACAAAAUAAUCACUCAGAACUUAUAUAGUGUAGUGCUCUAGUCCUGAUUUUUUCACUGCCUAACUCUUAAAACGUCAUUAUUUUUCAGAUAGUAUAUUAAUGUGGCCUGUAAAAUAAAAACAACAAAAGAAUUUAGUGAGCAAGCCUAUCAAAAUGGUCUUCAAUUAUUUAAGGCAAUUAUCUAGUGAUCAGGAGUAGAUAACAGAGAUACAAAUGCAGAUGAAUUUUCUAACUUUACGAUGUACAAAAGUGACCCACAUUCAAUAGUAACUGGCCUUCAGAUUCUGAAUUUCGAUCUUUUCCUGGGCUAGUAAGAACGGGCUAACACACUCCCUUUUGAUGCUGAUGCAGCAGUAAACAACCUGCACCCUGUAGCAGGGGUGGCAAACCUAUGGCAUGUGUGCUGCAGCGGCCACUCACAGCCCCCUCUGUAGCAUGGGAGCCAAAUGUGUAAGUUGUUUUCCCUAAAUGAAAACCUCAGCAUUCAGGUUAAAUUGCAGUAUUGGCCCUUUGCGAUAAAUAAGUGACUUUUAGGUUGCAAUUUGGGUACUCAGUCCCUAAAAGGUUUUCCAUCACUGCAGACUAGUGUACUAGAUACAGUAAUUUACAGGAAAUGCUCAGCAUUGUAAAAUAGCCCUAUGUUAGGUGAUUUUACCCAACUAAAGGCUAAUGUAAGUGAAACUGUUGAAGGUAGAUCAGGCUGAGCUUUGGUGCUCAGUAAAUUAGGUAUAUUAAAUGCAUUUUCAGCUCACGAUAUUUCCAAUUUCAGUGGUUUUGUUGGGUUGUGACCCUGGAGUAAGUAGAGUAUUUGUAAUUUUUCUGCAGUCACCACAGCACAGGUGGCUAGUAUGAUAGAACAAUCUACCUUAAGAAGAUUCACCUGUCCCCAGUUUAGAGCCACAGAAUUGAAAAAAUUAUAUUCUGUUCUCUUGUGCAUCAACUUUUGAGAAAAUAUCUGAAAGUGAGAUAAUUUGACUGUCCAGGGACAACACUGCAUUCUCUACAGCAUGUCAAUGUUGACAGGACACAGCUGAAGAGCUAGUUUGCGUCCAUGCUGUAUAGUUUUACUUUGAUCAGAUAUCCUGUGGCUCACUAAACUCAAGGACCGUGUAUGGGUAAGACUCCCAAGAAAAUCUGCUGUCUAGGAUUUGGAUUAUAAAACAAAGUUCUAAUGUGCUAGUUACACUAACUGAUUGGAUGGAAACAAGAAAAUAUUUGGAGUUACAAUAGACCCUUAUUUUCUUCUCACCUAUAAAAGGAAAAUAAAAUCUGUACACAUUCUUACUUAGCUUGGCUAUGGAAACAAAUGCCAAAAAUUGUGAAGUCCUCUAUAGGUAAGGCCAUAGUUAGAUUUUUCUGUUUGAAGUUUACCCUAAUCAUUCUCUUAGCCUAAACUGAUGUCUUAUCCUCUGGUUCUUCAAGGGAAGAACAGAGGUAAUUCGACGAGGGUGUCUUGAGAUAGCAGUAAUAGAUUGGGAGAUUGUCUGAAAGAAAGAGAGAGAUAAGUAAAGAAAAAAAGAGAAAGGAAGAAAAAAAAGAAACAGUUCCUGAUGUUUUGUUUUAUUAAACAUGGAGAGAAAAGAUAUGAGGCAGUAGCACUCUUAACUAGAUCUAGCAUUGAAAGUAAGACUUUGGGGGACAGGUUGGGCACUUCUUAAAUAUGCUCUCCUUGAAAACUUCACUAUAUAUUUGUGACUCAUGUAAGUUAGGCCAAAUGUUCUACAUGAUUUCUUGAGCAGAAAAAUAGAAUUAACAAAUAAGUGAAUAUUUUGCCAAUAGUCUAUAUUGAGUUAAUAAUUUUUGUCACUUGUGCCCAAAUUUCUUAAAGGAUAAUGGAAAUGCAUACCUCAUGUGUGACAAUUUUAAGUAUAAUACAGCCUUAAAAUAUAGGGCAGUAUAAAUUAUAUAAUCACAUGUACUUUGCUUUUUCAUAGUCCUUCACUGAAGUUAGUGAUGACUGUGUCAAUUGUUUAUCAACUGUCGGUGCUCUUAGAAUUUAAGUUUCGUUUGAGCACAAAACUAAUCUCUGAAUUCUCUGUUCCUACUGUCUGGAACAUUAUCUCACAUAUAUUUUCUGAAUGAAUGGAUUUCAUAAGUUACAUGUAAGGAAGGAGUGGUGUACGUUUUCAUUUGUGUGCUGAGGGUGGGUUAAAGAGAAGAGAAACAGACUUAUAUGAGCACGGGAAAGGGUUAGCAUUUUUUGAGAAGCUUCUUGGACUGAUGUCCCAGGUAUUGAUGAAGCAGAAUCUACUACUUAAGGAGACUUGAGUUGAGAGUGACACUUUUUUUCAAGCGUAGCUCUAUGAUAUAAAGAUAAAUACAGUGGUGAACUUAAUUUGUUCUAUAAUUAUGGAAAAGAUGGCCACAUAUAUGUUUGUGUGGGAAAGAUGACCUUGGUCACAUUUGUCACCCAAUACAGAGUUUUCAAACAAAAACCAAAUUUUGCCAAAUGCUUCUGUUUGCAAACCCAUUAAAGCAUUUGUGAACCAAGGUACUACUAUAUUCUAUGUUCCUUGAUUUUAUUUCUCUGCUUUUUACUACUCAGUCCUUUGACAUAUUAAGAACUCUGUUAAGUGCAUUUUAGUAGUGUUUUCUAGUUAUUGAACUCCUUGCCAAAAAGCAUUUUGAUGAGACAGCUUUGGGAACACAGUGACUUGAGUUUGGCAAGCAGAAGAAAGCAGCCCUUCCUCUAUUCUCGUGGGUCCCCCAUCUCCAUGUGAAAUUCAGCUGGCUUUUGUGUCAGCAGGAGCUUUGCUACCUCGAACCCUUCUUGGAAACCUCUCUCCACCAUGUGCCACCUUUCCACCCUCCGCCUAGACCCUGAGUUCCCAGACCUUCCCAAUUCUUUCAGUUUAUUACCCACUUGUGCCUUUACUCCUUUGGCUUUCAAUUUAAUCCCUGGAGUAGUCUUGGGUUCUAAUCCUUUUCACUUUCUAAUCCUGCUUCCUUAAAAAAAAAAUCUCAAAACCUGGGUCAGCACAGUCAUCCCUUUUUCAGCAUUUUGCUUUAAAGACACUGAGAAGCCUACAGAACAUGGAGUAAGUGCACCGACCAGUCAGGCACAGCACCAGGACAGCAGUUCCAGCAGUAGUCCCACAGAUGCCAACUGCUUACUCAUCCCUCUUUGCCUUGCUUGCUGGAUAACACAGUGGCUGUGUAGAUGGUUAAGGCUCUCUCCAGGUCGCCUACUCUGCUCAUCCUGCCUCUCUCGAGUCAACCUCCCCUUCCUUUUCACUGCUCCCUUCUUUAAGAAGAGGCUUGUACGUAUGACCUGGUGGAGUCCUCCCAGCUCUCUGAAAGAGCCCAUCAUCAGCCUUGGGUUACAGAUGCCCCAGGCUGUACAGCAAAUGCACAGUGGUGCCCGAGUGUGGACCCAGGGACUCUAAGCUCUGUCCCUGCAGUGUCUGGCUCUCAGUGCAGACUGGGUCAGUUGUUUCUGCAUGGAGGGUCAGUCCUCUCCACUUCCAGACUUUGCUUGUCUUUCUUUUGAGACUAUGCUCUCCUGACUACUCAGUCUCCUACCAAGGCUGUGUAUCCCCAGCUCUCCUAGCUCUUCUGAGUUGUCUCCAUCAUUUGUUAACCCCUUUACCAGCAGCUCAAGUUGGCCUGUGUCUCAAACUGAUGAGCCUAAAGGGGGGAUGAUGAAAGCUCUCAGGUCAAAAUGACCAGGAAAAGGUAAACAUUUUGAAUCAGCUCGGGAUAUCAAGGCAGCCAUACAGCAUAACUAAAGACAUGCAUGAAAAAGGACUUCAGAACUACUUCAGAAAAUGCUGCCUCUGACUUUUCCUGCCCAGCUGUGUGAGAAUGGGCUCUGUACUGUCCCUGCAGGCCAUCAGUCUCUGAGCGGGGACAUAAUAGACAAGGACUCCAUGAGGCACAGGAAAUAAGUGUUUUGUGUUAUAGAGAACUUCUGGGGUUAAGCCUACAUUCUGGUCUUUUCCCUGUGGAUUUUAUCCUCUCAUUGGACCUUCCAUAAAAUAAACUGCAUUUUCUAGUUUUUUUAAAUUAUUGCAUUAUCAAGCUCACAAAAGGAUGUUAGCCAACACAAGGACUUCCGGAGAUAUUUCCAACACAAGUCACUCCAAAGGAAUGGCUUUUAUUAUGUUUUUAGCAGGAAAACAAUAUCUUUCUAGAUAAAGAAUGUACGCAAAAGCUCAAGGGUAGCUGCUCUCGUACGUGAUUACUCAAAUGCACUGCAAGUAUUUUUACAUUCAAUUCCUACGUCUCCCUACAAAUCUUUCUAAUGCAGGAAGGCUUUUUUUUAAAUUAAUAAUCAUUUUACCAGGCAUGGUGGUGCUAUUCUGUAAUCCCAGCACUGGAAAGGCUGAGGCAAGCGGAUCAUUGCAAGUUCAAGAACAGCCUGGGCUACAAAGUGAGCCCAAGGCCAGCCUGAACCACAUAGUGAGACCCUGUCUCAAAAGACCAAAAAAAAAAAAAAAAAAAAGUCACUCUUGAAAGAUGAAGUAACCAAGGCACAAAGAAGUCCCUUGUCCUGGGUUCUGAAGCCAGAUCAAAACGCAGAUGAUCUGACUGCCCAGAAUAUGUUCUUACUAGCGACACAAUGCUUCCUGAUAAAACACAUUUAAAACAGUAAAGAAAAUGAGUGCAUUUAAUCUUUUUUCCUAAACAUAAUUUUUAAAAAAAUUAGACAACCAAGAACUUCUACUGAUAUGCCAAGUAGCUAGAUAUGUCAGUAGCAAGGCUCUUAUUGUGGAGAAUGGGCCCAAGAUCAGGGCCACGUCAGCUUCCACCUGCUCUGCACUGCUAAAGAAGUAGGAGUUUAGGGCUGGGGGUUUAGCUCAGCGGCUCAAGCACCCGCCUGGUAAGCAUAAAGUCUUAAAUUUGAUUCCUGGAACCAAAAAAAGGGGAGUUUAAUGCCAAGCACUGGUUACUAAGCUCUGGGAACAGGGCGAUUGGAAAGUAUACUCUAUAUUUUACAGCUGUAAACUUACAGAUAUUUUAACCUACAUAUUUAAUUGAUUUCAUUAUGCUGACAAUUUUCAUUUUAUAGAUAAGUAGAGACUCAGAGAAAUCCAGUGACUUUACUGGGCUCCAUGUACCUAGCUAGUGGGAAGUCAGGACAUAAGCCCGUUCUUUCUGGGUGCAUUUGUUUAUUUACAGUUAGGUGCUUCCCAGAUUCACGAGAGAUGGCUUCCCAUUUUUUUUUCUACUGUUCUAAAAAUAUCAAAAACUAACAUCCAUGUAUUUUUGUCAAUUUAUCUGCUUUUUUUUGCCUUUUAAGUAGAUAUUGGUAAAUGAAAAUGUGUUUCAAUUUCCCCAGUAGAUUUGAAUUUCAUGAGUUUUACAUUUCUCACAAAAGGGGCCAAGUCCAGCAAUUUAAUUUUCAUGAACUAAGAGCUUUGAUUAAAGUCUUUACUUUGACAAAUAAUUGGUUUUGGGAAUAGGGGAUAGAGAUAAUUCCACCAUAGGAUAAGCAUUCAUUCAUUUAUUCAAACAGAUACGCAUUGCAUGCCUAAUAUGCUUCAGACAUUGUGUUAGGUACAGGUCAUGCAAGCAUAAUUACAGCAUAGUUUUUUCCCUGGAGGAAUAAUCAUUUUCCCUUUCUUCUUUAUUAACCAAAAUCUGAUAUAUUUAUUCUUGCUGUACUUAAAUUAGGUUGAAAGUGUGGUAAAGGCACUGUUCUUAGUACACCAUAUGAUUUUAAAUGGCAACAGACAAGCACUUUAAAAACUAGUUAAGUUACAUAUUAUUUUAGUGUAUGAAAAUGUCAUAUAUACAAUGUAGUCACACUCAUUUCAAUGCAGAAAAAUCAAAAGAGCUUACAAAUGUAUAUUCAAUGGCUGUUAUGGCUUAGGUCAUGGCUGGUCAUUCUGGUGCUCCCCUUUAUGCAGACCAUGUGAACUUCAGGCAGGGCUCAGGUAUAUGCUGUGUAAACCUUCUGCUAUAACAUUUCCAAAGUGGAACAGUAGGGAUCUUUGAAAGUACCGAUGAAAUGAAUUAAUGUCAUGGAUUCUAUAGGUAUAGAAUUUUGGUAUCAGUGCAUUUAUUUUAAAUAACUUUAAAGUAAAAAAUUUUAAAAUGUCACUUUUGAAGAUAGUCAUUUAGUAUGUGAAGUACAACACAGAACUAUAUUAUGCUAAUCCUGAGCAAUUUUAUUUUCUGUAAGGAACUGAUAUCUUGGUACACGUUGGAAAUUGAUUAGUUACUCUUUGCAUUGCUUGCCUUAAGAUGUCUUAUUUGUAAAACACAUCAUUGCUUUCCAUUUAAUUUUAUGGCUACCUUCUAAUUACGGCAAAUGAUUAGUGACUUUCUCAUUUUUAAUUCAAAGAUGUGCAGCUGUGUUUGUAUUACUAACAGCAAACAUCAGAACUAAUCAGUAAUAAACCAUGUUAAACGUA